AUUGAACGCUGGCGGCAGGCUUAACACAUGCAAGUCGAGCGGAGAGAAGUAGCUUGCUACUGAUCUUAGCGGCGGACGGGUGAGUAAUGCUUAGGAAUCUGCCUGUUAGUGGGGGACAACAUUCCGAAAGGGAUGCUAAUACCGCAUACGCCCUACGGGGGAAAGCAGGGGAUCUUCGGACCUUGCGCUAAUAGAUGAGCCUAAGUCGGAUUAGCUAGUUGGUGGGGUAAAGGCCUACCAAGGCGACGAUCUGUAGCGGGUCUGAGAGGAUGAGCCGCCACACUGGGACUGGGACACGGCCCAGACUCCUACGGGAGGCAGCAGUGGGGAAUAUUGGACAAUGGGCGGAAGCCUGAUCCAGCCAUGCCGCGUGUGUGAAGAAGGCCUUUUGGUUGUAAAGCACUUUAAGCGAGGAGGAGGCUCUUAAGGUUAAUACCCUUGAUGAGUGGACGUUACUCGCAGAAUAAGCACCGGCUAACUCUGUGCCAGCCGCCGCUGUAAGAC
rnacentral:rRNA from 1 species